UACGUACUUCCUCUGUCUCAUAUUAAGUGCCGCAACUUUGUUUAGAUAUGCAUGUACCUAUACACUAAAACACAUUUAGAUACAUGUGUAUCUAUACAAAUUUGUGACACUUAAUAUAUGGAGGGAGUAGAUA
rfam:Brachypodium distachyon strain Bd21 chromosome 4, whole genome shotgun sequence.